CUGGCUCAGAGUGAACGCUGGCGGUAGGCCUAACACAUGCAAGUCGAACGGCAGCACAGUAAGGGCUUGCUCUUACGGGUGGCGAGUGGCGGACGGGUGAGGAAUACAUCGGAAUCUACUCUGUCGUGGGGGAUAACGUAGGGAAACUUACGCCAAUACCGCAUACAACCUACGGGUGAAAGCAGGGGAUCUUCGGACCUUGCGCGAUUGAAUGAGCCGAUGUCGGAUUAGCUAGUUGGCGGGGUAAAGGCCCACCAAGGCGACGAUCCGUAGCUGGUCUGAGAGGAUGAUCAGCCACACUGGAACUGAGACACGGUCCAGACUCCUACGGGAGGCAGCAGUGGGGAAUAUUGGACAAUGGGCGCAAGCCUGAUCCAGCCAUACCGCGUGGGUGAAGAAGGCCUUCGGGUUGUAAAGCCCUUUUGUUGGGAAAGAAAUCCAGCCGGCUAAUACCUGGUUGGGAUGACGGUACCCAAAGAAUAAGCACCGGCUAACUUCGUGCCAGCAGCCGCGGUAAUACGAAGGGUGCAAGCGUUACUCGGAAUUACUGGGCGUAAAGCGUGCGUAGGUGGUCGUUUAAGUCCGUUGUGAAAGCCCUGGGCUCAACCUGGGAACUGCAGUGGAUACUGGACGACUAGAGUGUGGUAGAGGGUAGCGGAAUUCCUGGUGUAGCAGUGAAAUGCGUAGAGAUCAGGAGGAACAUCCAUGGCGAAGGCAGCUACCUGGACCAACACUGACACUGAGGCACGAAAG
rnacentral:rRNA from 1 species